rnacentral:rRNA from 1 species
AUGGCGGGCAAAAUAGCCAACGUCCUAUGGCUCGAGGGCUCCUUCGUGGAGACCUUGAAGGGGUGGCAGUCAAGGUGGUUUUACAUCAUCGAGUCAUGCGAUCCGAAGUGGAUCGCAGCCCCUGAAUUCCGAUCCGGACCCCCUACACGGCUCACGUCCUGGAAGGAGACGGGCUUGUCGUGGGGCGACAAAGAAGAGGUGACCGGACUGCAAAAAUGCAUCCAGUCCCUAGUGAACAAGCAGCUCAAGCUUGUCAACAUAGUCCAGGUCAUGCUCGUCCGCCAGAUCCUUCCGUGUCAAGAACGGGACUUCAAUUUGUGGGAGUUCAACCCGGCGCAGCACCGAACUCUGAGCAGGCUCUUCGACAUGACGUACGAAGAUGUCUGGAAGGGGCUAACCAAGGCGCCGAGGCUCCCACAUCCACCUCCGAAGACCGCGGAUUCAGCUCGCAGCGUCCUGUUGGCGAGGAUUGGCAGGCGAAGUCCGGACUGA